rnacentral:lncRNA from 1 species
UUUCCAUAUCUCAAGAUUGACAUGGUGGAAAUUGCAUAGGGGAGAGAGCAGUAGGAAAAAAAGAAUUCCUCUCCUCUGGAUUCAGAAGAACCUCCACAUUUACAGGUCCUUCAAGGAUCUACAGACACAGAUGAAGAGACAUAUAGAUAGAAUCACAUUUACGUCAUACCAUUGGACGGAACAUCCCUGAUUUCAAGACCUGGGCUUCUGCACACUGAUCGAUGGCUCCAAGGUGGCAAAGCAUCCGUGGUCAACUGACCCUCUGUCUCUGGAUACAAAGGGAAUGAAGAGAUGAAAGGCUUUUUAUCUGAGGCUUCAAGGAGCAUCCUGGUGGGGAUAUCAUAAAAUUGCAUUGAGAUGGCCACAGUUUCACAUAAGUGGUCCUCACCAAGAUGAGAAAUUGUCAUGGAUGAUACUACAACCAAAAGACAAAUGACUGGUCCAAGGAAUGUUUCACGUGGAAAGAAUAUUUUUAGAAGGGAAGAGUUAAUUUCAUAAGAAGGUGAUAUAUAAAGCUAAGAGGAAAGCUGAUGGUUUUACCGUCAUUGUAUUAAACUGUAAUAGUGUGUUAAAUAAUAUCUCAGAAUUCCUUUAGGUGACAAUUAGCAGAUCCCUUCCCAGAGAUAAUGGAAACCAGCAGUGGAUUUUAGCAAGAUAUUGGUAUGGAAAAUAGACAUGCUGAAUGGUUCCCAAACACCCCUGGGGUGGAGGAACAAUAUUAA